AAAUUGUCCAUGAAUUGCUGUCUGUGCCUCAUUUUGAAUAGUUGCUGCAAGAUUCCUUUGCCAAUUAUGUCAUUCUGACAGUUACCAAGGGUUCCCUUCAUGCUGCACUGCUUGAAGCUGCUCGACCCCACUCUUUCUUACGAACUAGUCCAUAUUGUACGCGGAUUUUCUCUCGAAAUCUGUCAAAAAAGUGAUAAAAAUUCGUGCGUGGUGGCAAGUGUUGUUGCUCUCCCAAACUUACUAACCUGUUCACUAUUCAGAAGUUUUACUAUUUCUUGGGGGACUGGAUGUAGAAUAGCCUUCAAAAUUUGAAGCUGGUCCUCAAGAGAACCUUUGAAACUUAGUAUCUACGGAUGAUCUCUCCAUGAUUUUGAAGAACGUAAACUGGAAGUUUUUGCUCCUGGUUGUUUAUUUUGCUUAUACAACUUAUAUGUACUGUUC